rfam:Dipodomys ordii contig_52545, whole genome shotgun sequence.
UGGCUCAGUGGUAGAGCGUUUGCCUUGCAUGCAUGAGGCCCUGGGUUCGAUUCCUCAG